GGUAUAGAAAGUCUAUAUACAGAAGAUUUAAAGCCAAAAUAACUGUAAAUGUAAAAUCUCCACAAGAUUUUGCAUGAUAUUGGCUUGCUUAUUUUUUUUAUUAACAUUCAAAUUUUCUAAGCAGCAGUAAAUCAAUAGGACAGUGUGAUUUUGACGGUAUGAUAUCAAUCAGCAGCUUUUCAUUUGCUCUUCUUUCUUUGUGUCGUUCUAUGACAGGUGGCGGACAAGUGAGUCAUUUCAUUGUUCAAGUAAUUUUAUAUUUGUGAUUCAGCUUGAAACACGUCCCCUCAAUAAACUGUUUCCUUUUACAAAAAGGGUCAAGAAAAGGCAAAUAAAGGAAAGGAGUCAGAGGAAGACUCCAACUCUGGAUCUGGAUCUGGAUCUGGAUCUGAAUCAGAUGGGGUAAGAAACUUCUUCAGUUGCCUAAAGACAGCUUCAUACUGUUUCUGUAACUUUACAGUGCUUUAAUGUUGAUUUUUCUAUUUCCUCUUUUAGCAAGGAGGACGCAAAAAGGUAAGAGUUUACAACCUUUUUGAAUUUAGGUGAUAGUUUUUUUUAUAUGUAUAUAAAUGAUUCAAUUUUAAAUGUGACCACUAUUUUACAUGUGUUCGUUUUCCAGAAAGGGAAAGGACACGGGAAAGGACACGGGAAAGGACAUGGGAAAGGACAAAAUAAGGGAAGAGGACCCCCCAUGUGACAGGGGUGAUUGUGGUGGUGGUAACCGUGUCGGUUGUCAUGGUGAUCGCUGAAUUCUGUGUCACUAAAAAUAAAUAACUACUUGAUAAACUAAUACAUAAAGACUGCUUUAUUUUGUUUUUACACAAACAUAACUUCAGUGGCAGACACAUUUAUCUGUGUCAGACAAGCAUUGUUACAUACUGUGUUCAUAACUCCAACAGAUUUAACAAGCCUUGGAAUCCGCUGUAAAGUGUAAAGCUGAAUGAUAAGUUCAAACAUUAUUAUUUUUUUAUCAGUAAACAGAAGCAAAGAGGUAAGAGGAAUAACUUUGUCCUCAUGUAGUGCCAAAGGCAACAAAACCCAAUAGUUCUUGAGAGAAGCUUUAAAUAUGUGGAUGUCUAAACAUGUGAAACCACCACUUAAAAACAAUAUUUCUUUUUUUUGCUUCAAUAUAACUAUUUCAAACUGUACUUUAAAAAAAAGAAAGAUAUUUAAUCCCUGACUCUGAGUCUAAUCCUUAUAUAACUAAAGAAAUUGAAUAAGGACGUUGUGUU
rnacentral:lncRNA from 1 species